GAUUACAACAUGGAACGAGUGGCGGACGGGUGAGUAACACGUGGGUAACCUGCCCUUAAGUGGGGGAUAACAUUUGGAAACAGAUGCUAAUACCGCAUAGAUCCAAGAACCGCAUGGUUCUUGGCUGAAAGAUGGCGUAAGCUAUCGCUUUUGGAUGGACCCGCGGCGUAUUAGCUAGUUGGUGAGGUAAUGGCUCACCAAGGCGAUGAUACGUAGCCGAACUGAGAGGUUGAUCGGCCACAUUGGGACUGAGACACGGCCCAAACUCCUACGGGAGGCAGCAGUAGGGAAUCUUCCACAAUGGACGCAAGUCUGAUGGAGCAACGCCGCGUGAGUGAAGAAGGCUUUCGGGUCGUAAAACUCUGUUGUUGGAGAAGAAUGGUCGGCAGAGUAACUGUUGUCGGCGUGACGGUAUCCAACCAGAAAGCCACGGCUAACUACGUGCCAGCAGCCGCGGUAAUACGUAGGUGGCAAGCGUUAUCCGGAUUUAUUGGGCGUAA
rnacentral:rRNA from 2 species